CGGAGCAGGGAGCUGGGUCAGGAUGCACCAUGCGGAGUCGGGAACGCUGCAGAGGGAGUUCAGCCGGUGGCCGUGGGGAGAUGUGGAGUGGCCAUGGAGUGAGUGGAGGAGGCAAGCACUGCCUGGUCAGUUUGAGACCCCAAGACUAGGCACAUCGGGGUCUCGCUGAGCCAGAUGGAUGGAUAGACAGACAGCCAGACAGCCAGACAGGCAUGCAGCUCAGGAACUUACCGUCGUGACCCAGGACCCCUCCUUGGCUCCAGUCCAAGCUCUUCCUGGUCCUUUUUUUUUCCUUUUUUUCCCCUUCUCCUUUUCUUAUUUCCUCCCCCUCCUCCUCCUCCUCCUCUUCCUCCUCCCUCAGGGCUUUUGCGUGACACAAGAGGAGUCCGGGGGCCACUUUCCUUCGGUCGCUGUCGGAAGGGGCAUCUGCUCAUCACCUCUGUGAUGGGUACCAGCACUCCAGGGAGUUUCCGUCCGAGCCAGGUUGAUGCUUGAAAAUACCCAGCACUGCAAAGCAGGACCCCGAACAUCGGUGCUGCCCCAAAACUCACCUUGGAAAGUCCUGCCCAUGCUGGUGAAGCUAAGGCAGCAGAAAUGGCCCUGCAGGGAUGUCCAAAGCCCCCAGCAUGAGGUCAGAGGCCCAAGCUGUAUUUCCUACCACCUCCCGAAACCUUCUGGAUGGUGUUCUUGAGCCAACGAACUCCACCCCUGGAAACGGCGGGGGACAGAAAGGCUCAGCCUUUACAAGACUCCCGAGAAGCCAAGCCUGCAGCACCCCCCACCCUUCACUCCUGCUUUCCUUUGCUCCGAAGCCUGGGAUGGUACACCCUCAGCUGGUCCCAUGCCAAGGGGCACCCCUGGCUCUGAGCACCACCAGCACUGCGGGGCGUAGCGGUGGCUGUGGGUAGGGAUGUCCGUCUGACCUGCUUCGCCCCGGCUGUGCUUCCAGCUGCUGGCGGAUUCAUCGUUUGUGGAGGAAGAAUAGAGAGAGGAUGGGGGGUUUUUGUUGUUGUUGUUUUUUUUUUUUAAUCUAUUUUCUGCUUUUAUUUGCUGCUUUGCAAAGCCCCAAUUCCUCCCCGCGAAGAAUUUGACGAUGGACGCAGCUUUCGGCAGGAGCCUCCCCAAGGAUGUUGCUUCCCACCUGUGCAUCGCGGCCCAGAACUAGGGGGUCACGGACCACCCCGCUCUCAGCAUCUCUCAGCAUCCUUGUGACUGAUCCAUGUCCCCCAUCUCCCUCCUGGACAUCCUCUCCUACCCCAUCCCACCUUCCUUGGGGUCUCCUGGAGGAGCUGGGGGGGAUCCCCAGAUGCUGCCCAGCUUUGGUACCCCACUGAUGGAGGGUCAGGGUUUCCUCGAGGGAGGGACGUGGCCAGGAAGUGAUGGAGAGAGAGAAGUGGUUUUAUUCCCACCUCCCUACUCUCUCCCUCCCUCAUUCUGCAACCGCUAUUGAUGCCUUUCUUUAGAUCUGAUUUACCAGGGAUUUUCCCAUUCCAGCAGGAAAACUGCUGGGAGGGGAUUUCUCUGCAAAGCUUUCGGGCUUGCAGGCAUUUUAUUUUCCGGGGUGGUGCCAGGCUGGUUCCUGCAGGGUGGCUCUUGGCUCGGCAGGGCUUAUCAGGGGACUCCCCAUGGCUGGGGGUCCCCUCUGCCUCCCCCAAAUCUCCCGUUGCGGCCCCAGGAUGGAGCCGGUGCCCAUUGUCAUGCUGCUGGCAGGUGCCCUUCGCUGCCGAGCCCGCUGAUGUAUCGCUUCCCCGCCGUGACUCAC